AUGAGGGCUCUCUUUGCAUGGUGCGCCCUCCUCUUGGCGUGCGGCGGCGUGAUGCAUUGCGCGGAGGCGGCCAAGGCCAGGCACCUCAAGUGGGAGGUGAGCCACAUGUUCUGGUCGCCGGACUGCGAGGAGAAGGUGCUCAUCGGCAUCAACGGCCAGUUCCCCGGCCCCACCAUCCGGGCCAAGGCCGGCGACACCAUCGUCGUCGAGCUCAAGAACGGGCUGCACACCGAGGGCGUCGUCAUCCACUGGCACGGCGUCAGACAGAUUGGAACGCCAUGGGCGGACGGCACGGCCGCCAUCUCCCAGUGCGCCAUCAACCCGGAAGAAACCUUCACUUAUCGAUUCGUCGUCGACAAGCCGGGGACAUACUUCUACCACGGGCACUACGGCAUGCAGAGGGCGGCGGGGCUGUACGGCUCUCUGAUCGUGGAUGUGGCGGAUGGGGAGGAGGAGCCGUUCAAGUAUGACGGCGAGCUGAACCUGCUCCUCAGCGACUGGUACCACGAGAGCAUCUACAACCAGAUGGUUGGCCUCUCCUCCAGCCCCAUGAGAUGGAUCGGCGAGCCCCAGUCGUUGCUGAUCAACGGUAGGGGGCAGUUCAACUGCUCGCUCGCGGCGGCGCACACGCCGGGCACCAAGCAGUGCACCGCCGGCGGCAACAGGCAUUGCGCGCCGGUGAUCCUCCCCGUCGAGCCCAACAAGACCUACAGGCUCCGGAUCGCCAGCACCACCUCGCUGGCUUCCCUCAACCUCGCGAUCGGGAAGCACAAGCUGACGGUGGUGGAGGCUGACGGCAACUACGUGGCGCCGUUCGUGGUGGACGACAUGGACAUCUACUCCGGCGACAGCUACUCCGUCCUGCUCACCACCGACCAGGACCCGUCGUCCAACUACUGGGUCAGCAUCGGCGUGCGUGGCCGGACGCCCAAGACGGCGCCGGCACUGGCCCUGCUCAACUACCGCCCCAACCGCGGGUUCAAGCUGCCGGCCAUCGCGCCGCCGGUGACCCCUGCGUGGAACGACACCGCGCACAGCAAGGCGUUCACGACCCAGAUCAAGGCCCGCGCCGGCACGCCCCCGCCGCCGGCGACGUCGGACCGCCGCAUCGAGCUGCUCAACACGCAGAACAAGCUGGACGGGCACAUCAAGUGGUCCAUCAACAACGUGUCCCUGGUGCUCCCGGCGACGCCGUACCUGGGCUCCCUGAAGCUGGGGCUCAAGACGGCGCUGGCCGCCGCGCGGCCGGCGGACACGUUCGGGCGCGCCUACGACGUGACGCGGCCGCCGCACAACCCCAACACGACGACGGGGGACAACGUCUACGUGCUCCGCCACAACACCACGGUGGACGUGGUGCUCCAGAACGCCAACGCGCUCCAGCACAACGUCAGCGAGGUGCACCCGUGGCACCUGCACGGCCACGACUUCUGGGUGCUGGGGUACGGCGAGGGCGCGUACAGGGGCGACGCCGCCGACGCGGCGAGGCUGAACCUGGUGAACCCGCCGCUGCGGAACACGGCGGUGAUCUUCCCGUACGGGUGGACGGCGCUGCGGUUCGUGGCGGACAACCCCGGGGUGUGGGCGUUCCACUGCCACAUCGAGCCGCACCUCCACAUGGGCAUGGGGGUCAUCUUCGCCGAGGCCAUCGACCGCGUCGGCAAGGUGCCCAAGGAGGCCGUCUCCUGCGGCGCCACGGCCACCGCGCUCAUGAACGGCGACCACCUCUGA
rnacentral:rRNA from 1 species